rnacentral:rRNA from 1 species
GACGAACGCUGGCGGCGUGCUUAACACAUGCAAGUCGAGCGGUAAGGCUCCUUCGGGAGUACACGAGCGGCGAACGGGUGAGUAACACGUGAGUAAUCUGCUCCUUUCAUCGGAAUAACCAGUGGAAACGCUGGCUAAUGCCGAAUACGACCAUCGAAGGCAUCUUCUGGUGGUGGAAAGCUCCGGCGGAGAGGGAUGGACUCGCGGCCUAUCAGCUUGUUGGUGAGGUAAUGGCUCACCAAGGCAACGACGGGUAGCCGGCCUGAGAGGGUGACCGGCCACACUGGGACUGAGACACGGCCCAGACUCCUACGGGAGGCAGCAGUGGGGAAUAUUGGACAAUGGGCGAAAGCCUGAUUUAGCAACGCCGCGUGAGGGAUGACGGCCUGGUGUAACGUACUUCUAGUAGGACGAGACGAAGUAGACGGUACGUACACGAAGAAGGACGGACCG